UACGUAGGGCGCAAGCGUUGUCCGGAAUUAUUGGGCGUAAAGAGCUCGUAGGCGGCUUGUCGCGUCGGUUGUGAAAGCCCGGGGCUCAACCCCGGGUCUGCAGUCGAUACGGGCAGGCUAGAGUGUGGUAGGGGAGAUCGGAAUUCCUGGUGUAGCGGUGAAAUGCGCAGAUAUCAGGAGGAACACCGGUGGCGAAGGCGGAUCUCUGGGCCAUUACUGACGCUGAGGAGCGAAAGCGUGGGGAGCGAACAGG
rnacentral:rRNA from 1 species